rnacentral:rRNA from 1 species
GAUGAACGCUGGCGGCGUGCCUAAUACAUGCAAGUCGAGCGAACAGACGAGGAGCUUGCUCCUCUGACGUUAGCGGCGGACGGGUGAGUAACACGUGGAUAACCUACCUAUAAGACUGGGAUAACUUCGGGAAACCGGAGCUAAUACCGGAUAAUAUAUUGAACCGCAUGGUUCAAUAGUGAAAGACGGUUUUGCUGUCACUUAUAGAUGGAUCCGCGCCGCAUUAGCUAGUUGGUAAGGUAACGGCUUACCAAGGCAACGAUGCGUAGCCGACCUGAGAGGGUGAUCGGCCGCACGGGAACUGAGACACGGUCCAGACUCCUACGGGAGGCAGCAGUAGGGAAUCUUCCGCAAUGGGCGAAAGCUUGACGGAGCAACGCCGCGUGAGUGAUGAAGGUCUUCGGAUCGGAAAACUCUGUUAUUAGGGAAGAACAAAUGUGUAAGUAACUAUGCACGUCUUGACGGUACCUAAUCAGAAAGCCACGGCUAACUACGUG